GGCGGUUCUUGGGUGACGCACCCGCAGGUUCCCUCCUCUCUGGUUCCGGGUGCAUCACCCGAGAAUUGCA
rfam:Myotis brandtii contig249118, whole genome shotgun sequence.